GAUGCAGUUUUGGGCACGCUGGACUCAUCAACACAGCUAUGCGAACAAAAAUAAGAGUGAGGGAAAUAAUCAGAUCAAGAGACUGAUACAGAAAUGCUGAAGAGAGGGAUUCAGCAAAAAAAAAGAGAUGUUAAAAAACCAGCAAUACUCUAGAGUCUGAAAGCCCAAGGGAGGGAACGAUAGAGAGGACGGAGAGCAAAGGACCAGAUGUGUAUCUAUCUCACAAGAUGUGAAAAUCGUCUCAAGACAGCAAAUCAGUACAGCGUGAAGCUGAUGAAAGGACUCCAGGCUCCAUCAUAACAGCUUUAAUAAGUUUGGCGCAAGAGGGAGUAAAACUUAUUAUGGAAUAUGAAGCAGAAGCCCCACAUAAAUGAUUUUACUUCAUCUAAACGCCAACGGUUUGAUUCAUAUCGCAGGAGGAAAACUGUGGGCCCAUGAUGGGCUCCUAUGAAAUUAACAUAAUGAGCGCUGCUCAUAAAUCUCACUGAUUUCUUACCCAACUAUUAAAAACCAAAUGGCCAGACUUUGAGAAAUGACAGCAAUUGGUGUAUCGAGAUAUUGCAAGUCUCCUUCUUCUCAUUUAAAUGUUUAUAAAUACAAAAAAUAAAAUAAAAAAUACUCGAAAAUGAACACGCUAUGCUAUUUGAAUAAGCUCGCAUGGCACUGAAACAACAGGGGUAUCAAACACACAUACACUACGAGGCACUGAUAACUGUACUCAGGAAAAUUUAUAAAUCCGCAGUUUACAUACACAACUGACGAGCAGCCUGACAGCGCGACACAGCGACGCGAUCAUUAGCCGCACCGAAGCAGCAUUUUAAACGUGUUUCAAUAUUCAGUCGCUUCACAGUUGUUGAUUUUAUGAAAAUCACUAAU